rnacentral:lncRNA from 1 species
CUCGGUAACGUGGGCUUGUCACCAAGUGGAGCAUUAAGGUAUUUGAAUAAUUUGGUAUUGAAUUCAAGGUUGACAUUAUGAGCUAGCUUUGAUUUGCCCGUUUCCAAGUUGGGCAGUGGAUUCUAUGUUUCAGUCUAACGCUCGAAUCAUAUUCUCCCUAAANNNNNNNNNNNNNNNNNNNNNNNNNNNNNNNNNNNNNNNNNNNNNNNNNNNNNNNNNNNNNNNNNNNNNNNNNNNNNNNNNNNNNNNNNNNNNNNNNNNNACAAGUCAUUUGCUCAUAUUGUCAAUUACCCUGUCAAUUAGCCUUGGAAUCCACAAAAUUCAACAAAUAUUUUUAUUUAUAAAUAGAAUCCAUACUCUUUGUUUAUUUUUCAAUUCUACAAUUUAAAUUGCAAAUAUACGAAAAAAUACUAUUCAGUCAAAUUAAAAUGACCCGAAAAUAGGAAACUUGGUUUCUCUGACAAUUUCACCCCAUCUGAAGAUUGUUUUUUAAAACUUAUAUAACAAAAUAACACUAUAAGAAAUAAUCCCACAUCGAAGAAAUUGAAAAAAGCUUUGUUGUUUAUAUACAAUAAAUCUACAAAUCAAUCGCUGAGCUCGGUAACGUGGGUUUGUCACCAAGUGGAGCAUUAAGGUAUUUGAAUAAUUUGGUAUUGAAUUCAAGGUUGACAUUAUGAGCUAGCUUUGAUUUGCCCGUUUCCAAGUUGGGCAGUGGAUUCUAUGUUUCAAUCUAACGCAUGAAUCAUAUUCUCCCUAAACUUGAGGGUAAUGCGUGAGGCUGGUUUCACAGAGCAGCGAUUAUCUCUAACUCUCAACGGUGGAAAGAUUACAAGUCAUUUGCUCAUAUUGUCAAUUAGCCUUGGAAUCCACCAAAUUCUACAAAUAUUUUUUAUUUUAUAAAUAUAAUCCAUAUUCUUUGUUUAUUUUUCAAUUCUACAAUUUAAUUUGCAAAUAUACGAAAAAAUAUUAUUCAGUCAAAUUAAAAUGACUCGAAAAUAGGAAACUUGGUUUCUCUGACCAUUUCACCCCAUCUGAAGAUUUUUUUUUAAAACUUAUAUAACAAAAUAACACUAUAAGAAAUAAUCCCACAUCGAAGAAAUUGAAAAAAGCUUUGUUGUUUAUAUACAAGAAAUCUACAAAUCAAUCUCUGAGCUCGGUAACGUGGGUUUGUCACCAAGUGGAGCAUUAAGGUAUUUGAAUAAUUUGGUAUUGAAUUCAAGGUUGACAUUAUGAGCUAGCUUUGAUUUGCCCGUUUCCAAGUUGGGCAGUGGAUUCUAUGUUUCAGGCUAACGCUUGAAUCAUAUUCUCCCUAAACUUGAGGGUAAUGCGUGAGGCUGGUUUCACAGAGCAGCGAUUAUCUCUAACUCUCAACGGUGGAAGGAUUACGAGUCAUUUUCUCAUAUUGUCAAUUACCCUUGGAAUCCACCAAAUUCAACAAAUAUUUUUUAUUUUAUAAAUAGAAUCCACAUUCUUUGUUUAUUUUUCAAUUCUGCAAUUUAAAUUGCAAAUAUACGCAAAAAUACUAUUCAGUCAAAUUAAAAUGACCCUAAAAUAGGAAACUUGGUUUCUCUGACCAUUUCACCUCAUCUGAAGAUUUUUUUUUUUAACUUAUAUACAAAAUAAUACUAUAAGAAAUUAUCCCACAUCGAAGAUAUUUAAAUAAGCUUUGUUGUUUAUAUACAAGAAAUCUACAAAUCAAUCGAUGAGCUCGGUAACGUGGGCUUGUCACCAACUAGAGCAUUAAGGUAUUUGAAUAAUUUGGUAUUGAAUUCAAGGUUUACAUUAUGAGCUAGCUUUGAUUUGCCCGUUUCCAAGUUGGGCAGUGGAUUCUAUGUUUCAGUCUAACGCUUGAAUCAUAUUCUCCCUAAACUUGAGGGUAAUGCGUGAGGCUGGUUUCACAGAUCAGCGAUUACCUCUCACUCUCAACGGUGGAAGGAUUACAACUCAUUUGCUCAUAUUGUCAAUUAGCCUUGGAAUCCACCAAAUUCAACAAAUAUUUUUUAUUUUAUAAAUAGAAUCCACAUUCUUUGUUUAUUUUUCAAUUCUGCAAUUUAAAUUGCAAAUAUACGCAAAAAUACUAUUCAGUCAAAUUAAAAUGACCCUAAAAUAGGAAACUUGGUUUCUCUGACCAUUUCACCUCAUCUGAAGAUUUUUUUUUUUAACUUAUAUACAAAAUAAUACUAUAAGAAAUUAUCCCACAUCGAAGAUAUUUAAAUAAGCUUUGUUGUUUAUAUACAAGAAAUCUACAAAUCAAUCGAUGUGGGCUUGUCACCAAGUGGAGCAUUAAGGUAUUUGAAUAAUUUGGUAUUGAAUUCAAGGUUGACAUUAUGAGCUAGCUUUGAUUUGCAUGCCCGUUUCCAAGUUUGGCAGUGUAUGCUAUGUUUCAGGCUAACGCUUGAAUCAUAUUCUCCCUAAACUUGAGGGUAAUGCGUGAGGCUGGUUUCACAGAGCAGCGAUUACCUCUCACUCUCAACGGUGGAAGGAUUACAACUCAUUUGCUCAUAUUGUCAAUUAGCCUUGGAAACCACCAAAUUCAACAAAUAUUUUUUAUUUUAUAAAUAGAAUCCAUAUUCUUUGUUUAUUUUUCAAUUCUACAAUUUAAAUUGCAAAUAUACGCAAAAAUACUAUUCAAUCAAAUUAAAAUUACCCUAAAAUAGGAAACUUGGUUUCUCUGACCAUUUCACCUCAUCUGAUGAUUUUUUUUUUAACUUAUAUACAAAAUAAUACUAUAAGAAAUUAUCCCACAUCGAAGAUAUUUAAAUAAGCUUUGUUGUUUAUAUACAAGAAAUCUACAAAUCAAUCGCUGAGCUCGGUAACGUGGGUUUGUCACCAAGUGGAGCAUUAAGGUAUUUGAAUAAUUUGGUAUUGAAUUCCAGGUUGACAUUAUGAGCUAGCUUUGAUUUGCAUGCCCGUUUCCAAGUUGGGCAGUGUAUGCUAUGUUUCAGGCUAACGCUUGAAUAAUAUUCUCCCUAAACUUGAGGGUAAUGCGUGAGGCUGGUUUCACAGAGCAGCGAUUACCUCUCUCUCUCAACGGUGGAAGGAUUACAAGUCAUUUGCUCAUAUUGUCAAUUACCCUGUCAAUUAGCCUUGGAAUCCACAAAAUUCAACAAAUAUUUUUAUUUAUAAAUAGAAUCCAUACUCUUUGUUUAUUUUUCAAUUCUACAAUUUAAAUUGCAAAUAUACGAAAAAAUACUAUUCAGUCAAAUUAAAAUGACCCGAAAAUAGGAAACUUGGUUUCUCUGACCAUUUCACCCCAUCUGAAGAUUGUUUUUUAAAACUUAUAUAACAAAAUAACACUAUAAGAAAUAAUCCCACAUCGAAGAAAUUGAAAAAGCUUUGUUGUUUAUAUACAAGAAAUCUACAAAUCAAUCGCUGAGCUCGGUAACGUGGGCUUGUCACCAAGUGGAGCAUUAAGGUAUUUGAAUAAUUUGGUAUUGAAUUCAAGGUUGACAUUAUGAGCUAGCUUUGAUUUGCCCGUUUCCAAGUUGGGCAGUGGAUUCUAUGUUUCAGUCUAACGCAUGAAUCAUAUUCUCCCUAAACUUGAGGGUAAUGCGUGAGGCUGGUUUCACAGAGCAGCGAUCAUCUCUAACUCUCAACGGUGGAAAGAUUACAAGUCAUUUGCUCAUAUUGUCAAUUAGCCUUGGAAUCCACCAAAUUCUACAAAUAUUUUUUAUUUUAUAAAUAUAAUCCAUAUUCUUUGUUUAUUUUUCAAUUCUACAAUUUAAUUUGCAAAUAUACGAAAAAAUAUUAUUCAGUCAAAUUAAAAUGACUCGAAAAUAGGAAACUUGGUUUCUCUGACCAUUUCACCCCAUCUGAAGAUUUUUUUUUAAAACUUAUAUAACAAAAUAA